AGCACAGAAGAAACAUGUGGAAAGUAUAAUCGUAUCAAACAAACUUCGAUGGAAAAAGUGAGAUUACUAAUUAAAAAAAAAAAAAUCCCUUCCCCUAAUGCAAAGCAAAUAAAAGGUGCAGGGUACUGAUACGAAUCAACAGUAAUGCUGUUAGAGGACUGGGAGAUGAAGUCCCUAGUCGUCUGUGUACUGAGAAGUCUGUGGUCUUCUUCAGUUGUGCCCUUAGUCGAAGGGAUACGAUGUCUAUUUCCAGCCCUCUUUUCCUUGCUCACCUAGGACCUCAUCUACCGUCCAGACUCUGAAAAACUUCCCUCCAGUCUGCAGAAGUGGGCCCCGCGGGUCCUGGUCCAGUGGGCUUUCAGCGGGAGGAUAUGCACCUGAGAAAUAGCAUUCCAUUCAGCCUUGGCAUUAUUGUUACCACGCCGAGCACAGCUAGCUCUGUAAGUAAUAAUUGUUAAGGCGAAUGCUAGUUUAGUCUAAUUUAGCUCAUUAGCAGGGUAACUCCUUUGAUUUCCAAAGAGGCAUCAGGAUGCUUGCAUCCGUGGGUCGCCCCAGCCUGCGUACUACCAUCAGGCGGUUCACGUUGGCUCCUCGCGGUGGAGUUUGUUGAGUGCACAGAAACUGAAUACACACCAGAGCUCCACCAACUUUUUCUCCCAGACCUGAGCCUCAGUGCCAAGACAGACCUGGGGUCUGCCUUCAUCCGUCGUCACCCUGGCACGCCCUGGCUCGGGCGGACUGGCCAGGGGGAAGAAAGCGGUCCCGGGCAUGUCGUUCGCUAACUCUUCGCAUACCGUGGCGAGUGGCUGCCGCCUAGACACGUUCCUCCUGUUUGCACACAAGCCAUGGCUGGUGCAAACAAUUCCGCAGAGAGCCUGCCUGGCACAAGCCUAGAACACUGCCUGGUUGAAGUAGGUGCUCUAUGAACUAGGAGCAACUUCUACUAAGGAAAUGGAAAAUGGGAUGUGUCCCCAGAUACCAUUAGAUGCUUUGUGCCAGGCUGUCCUGUAUGUGAAGUAAAGAAUGAAAAUGCUGCCUACACUGUGGAUAAGAUAAUGUACUCUACAGAGUUCAUAAUGGAAAUACUACUGAACCACAUCAUAGUUAUGUAAGAAAACAAAAUGUGGUUCUCCUGCUACUGACUUUAUCCAGCAGUAAAGAGAAAUCCUUGCAACUGUUGCUCACACAGUACGAAAUCCUUACAGAGUCAUAGUGGGGCAUGUCUGCUAUCUGACCCAAGCUUUAGGGCUCCUUAAACACCUGUGGAUUUAUGCAGUUCAGGUGUCUGCAAGGGCAUGUGUGGAAGUUCAUUCAGAAACCUGGAGCCCAAAUAAAAAGAUCUGAUGACAUGGGCAAGCUGUUUCAUUCCUCUGUAGUCCAAUCAGUCUUUUGAAUUAGGAAAGAGAGUAAGAUUUAAGAAUGUGUUCUUUAAAAAAAAAAAAUUCUGUAAAGAAUCAGAUUUAACAAGGAAACACAGAUGCAUUUUUUAUUUCAUUGUGUGAUUUUGCCCAGUUAAUCUUUAAAUUUAUUUUCAAAUUUAAAUUUAUAAAAGCCAGAUCAUCAGGGUAUUGGGUCCCCCACGUUAUCCGUGUAUAAGUAGCCCCCGGCAGGUAUGCACAAACAUCUGGUGAGGGGGAACUGGCCCUUUUAUACUGAAGACCUACACAAUUUAAAACAUGAAAACCUAUACCCUUUAGAAACUUAUACUCUUUAAAAAUGAUCAAAUAUAGCCACAAAGUUGUCUUAAUUAACUCCAUCACAAUUGCUUUCUUUUUGGGAUUUGAUUUCACCUUUUGAAAAUCAGAGACACCAUGAC